GUUGGCUACCCCGAUUUAUCUGGCGCUGACUCUGUCACAAACACGUUGAACCGUCUUUUUUCGUUUGCCGCUGAUUUAAGAAGUUUUAGAACGACUCGUGAACGAGAAUGCAAGAUGAAGCUUUUUCAAGAAACAGUUUUCCUGUUAAGAGAUCGUUUUUCAGAAAUUACAACGGACAAGAAGUGUUAAAAAUGAAUGACACACGUCAUAAUACCUCGUUCAACUAGACAUUUUUUGCACUCUUGAAAAUCCUUAAAAAUGUAUUGAAAGUUUUGUUAAAAUUGUUUUAAUUUCAUGCUAUCUAGUUGGUAAUAAGUCCAAUUAGUAAAUCACAAUGUUUGUUAUGUAAUAAACUCACAGUGUGUUAA